GCGGGAAUAGCUCAGCUGGCAGAGCACCUGCUUCCCAAGCAGGGGGUCGCGGGUUCGAAUCCCGUUUCCCGCUCCA
rnacentral:tRNA from 1 species